GACGAACGCUGGCGGCGUGCCUAAUACAUGCAAGUCGAACGCUUCUUUCCUCCCGAGUGCUUGCACUCAAUUGGAAAGAGGAGUGGCGGACGGGUGAGUAACACGUGUGUAACCUACCCAUCAGAGGGGGAUGACACUUGGAAACAGGUGCUAAUACCGCAUAACAGUUUAUGCCGCAUGGCAUAAGAGUGAAAGGCGCUUUCGGGUGUCGCUGAUGGAUGGACCCGCGGUGCAUUAGCUAGUUGGUGAGGUAACGGCUCACCAAGGCCACGAUGCAUAGCCGACCUGAGAGGGUGAUCGGCCACACUGGGACUGAGACACGGCCCAGACUCCUACGGGAGGCAGCAGUAGGGAAUCUUCGGCAAUGGACGAAAGUCUGACCGAGCAACGCCGCGUGAGUGAAGAAGGUUUUCGGAUCGUAAAACUCUGUUGUUAGAGAAGAACAAGGACGUUAGUAACUGAACGUCCCCUGACGGUAUCUAACCAGAAAGCCACGGCUAACUACGUG
rnacentral:rRNA from 1 species